rnacentral:rRNA from 1 species
CCUACGGGUGGCAGCAGUGAGGAAUAUUGGUCAAUGGGCGAGAGCCUGAACCAGCCAAGUCGCGUGAGGGAGUACUGCCCUAUGGGUUGUAAACCUCUUUUGUCGGGGAGCAAAUGCCGGACGUGUUCGCCUGAGCGAGUAUCCGAAGAAAAAGCAUCGGCUAACUCCGCGCCAGCAGCCGCGGUAAUAUGUAGGAUGCGAGCGUUAUCCGGAUUUAUUGGGUGUAAAGGGUGCGCAGGCGGAUGUUUAAGUCAGCGGUAAAAUCGUGGGGCUCAACCCCAUCCAGCCGUUGAAACUGGGGAUCUAGAGUGUGCGAGAGGUAUGCGGAAUGCGUGGUGUAGCGGUGAAAUGCAUAGAUAUCACGCAGAACCCCGAUUGCGAAGGCAGCAUACCGGUGCACAACUGACGCUCAGGCACGAAAGCGUGGGUAUCGAACAGGAUUAGAUACCCUUGUAGUC